GGCAGAGCUAGCGACUGAAUCUCAGCGCACAUCCCGUGGAGGACUACAGGAGCGAGACGGCCCGCCGCCGGCGGAAUCGAACGCGGCGGCGCCCCCUCUACGCCCUCCUGAGGCCCUGAGCCAGUCGGCGCGUGCCCCACCGAGCUUCGCCGCCCCGCGCCGCGACGCCGACCACUGAAUCACUGAUGACCUGAUCAGACCAGAUCAGGGGGGAAAGGUAAAAUUUUAGGGGCCCUAGAUACUCCUGACUGCUAGUAAGGCCUCAGUCUUGAUGACGAUGCCCGGAUUCUGCCCGUCAAUGGCGGCUCCAUCUGCCGGCCACCCUCCCAUCUGCCUCGCCGACGCUUCAGGGGCAGCGGGAUCCCAAGACAUGCUGCGGCCACGUCUGGUGCUCUUCGGCGACUCCAUCACCGAGCAGUCCUUCCGCCCCGGCGGGUGGGGAGCGGCCCUCGCCAACACCUACUCCCGCAAGGCUGAUGUUGUUGUCAGAGGCUAUGGUGGGUACAACUCAAGAUGGGCCCUGUUCCUGAUCCAGCGCAUUUUCCCCCUGGUUGGGUUACCACCUGUUGCGACGACUAUUUUCUUUGGCGCUAAUGAUGCAGCGCUUCCAGGACGAACAAGUCAGCGGCAACAUGUUCCGGUUGAGGAGUAUAGACAGAAUCUCAAAACAAUUGUUAAUCAUCUGAAGGAUUGUUCCAAGUCCAUGGUAAUUUUGCUUAUCACUCCACCUCCUAUUGAUGAAGAUGGAAGAGAAAGAUAUGCACGAUCGCUAUAUGGAGAAGAUGCGAGAAGGCUCCCUGAAAGGACAAAUGAAAUGGUUGGUGUCUAUGCAGGUCAAUGCAUAGAACUAGCCAAAGAAAUGGAUGUUCACUGCAUUGAUAUUUGGUCAAAGAUGCAAGCAGCUGAAGGUUGGCAGAAACUUUACUUAAGUGAUGGACUGCAUCUGACGCCGGAAGGAAACGCCCUGGUCCACAAGGAGGUCGUGCAGGCCUUGAGAGGAGCUGGUCUGAAACCUGAAGAUAUGCCGCACGACUUCCCUCAUCAUUCCAAAAUCGAUGGAAUUCACCCAGAAAAGGCCUUCCAGUGAGGUGAUUUCAGGCAGUGCGAUGUUAAAGCUUGAGCCGCGUGCUUCUCAUGUCUGGAGGUUUUGCUUUCCUCACGUUUCACUUUCUACCUUGUUGUGGAUUGUGAAAUUUCUGUGUCCAUUUUUACCCCUUCGAAAUAGUUGGGUACAUUGCUGUGGUAUAUACUUUGCAGUGAAAUUAUUGAUUUCGGGCUGUGGGCUGUUUAACUUUCAACUGCCUGCCUGCCUCCCAUGUCAUCUGUAGGCUUUUUGCUUUCCUCAUGCUUUAGUUUUUAUUUUAUUGUGAGAUUCUUAGUGUGAAUUUCAUGUCCAUUUUUACACCAUCAAAACAGGCGGCAUGUUGAUGCGGCGCCUCGGGCGAUCGGGUGCUGGAUUGUUUCGGUAUCGGAUUCCACAGCGUCGAUUACAGACCUUCCACUUUGUGGUUGAUGCUGAAGGCUUUUGUGCGGGGCUAGAAUGGCCACAUCUGUUGCUACGUCCUGUUACCUAUUUUUUCUCAGUAAUAAAACAGUAUUCUUGGGUAGGCAGGGUACCGUAGCUGAAGAAUUGUCGAGAACCUGAAGCAUGUUUGCUCAAGAUCUUUUGUCAUCUCUCCUUUGCAUGCCAAAAAAAU
rnacentral:rRNA from 1 species